GUUUCCAGUCCUCUGAGUCUGAGGGAUGGUGAAGAAUUUCUGCAGGAGGGAACAGAAACAGUUCCUGCACACCAAAGUUCAACAGGUAGGCUGCAGGAACCUCCAACUCCGUACAAACAAGCAAACCAAAACCACAUUAAACACACUGGUAACACUCAUGCAUUAGUGACUUAGCAUGCAUGAAUAUCUUCUCACUGAUGAAUCCAUGUCUCUCACUAACAGCUCUUCUUUAGUCAGGCCUGAAGCUGAUGAUAUUUGAGUUUUAUCAUCCCAAAGUUUUGGUAGAUUCCAUUUUCUAUUCCCAUGAGAACAACAGUGUUGGUCUGCACACACUUUGAUACUAACCGUGUUUUUAAGCUCAUGAAUCAGACAUAUGAUCAGAGAAUUAACUCCUAACUGUUAGUAACUGAUGAAAAGAGAAAGUGAGCAUUCAUAACCUUCCUUCCUCUAAAAUCAGAGUGUUGUUUUCAGGUGAAAUCUCUCUCCCUGAACAAAGCCGGAGCUUGCUGCAGCUCUGCGCUCAUUAAUGAUGUUUUUGAAUCUCCAAACCGCACCGUCUCAGUGGUCAUUUUUCUGCCGUUGCUCGGCUCAGAGGUGAUGCAGACACAUCACAGCUGAGACCUCAGUGUUUUUAAGAUCAGUUUGAUCUUUUUUUCUGCUUUUAUUCGCUCGAAUGUGACUCCUUCCCUCACAGAGAGGCUCAGCGCCCUUCAAUUAAACCCAAACUAGUGGUCACGUGACACCUGUGAUUUCCUGCAACACUCAAAGGAAAUGAUCUCUGUCAGUCUGUCAGCCUCCCCCCUUCCUCCCCCUCUCUCAGGGGUAAGUGAUUAUGUGUUUUGCCAAUGUGUUUGUGGAGAUCUUUUGAUAUGCACAAACACAGAUUCUAAUGCGCUGUUUUUGGCUGACGGCUGAUUAGGAUGCCGGCUCAUGGCUGAGUCCACGGGGCCUCAGCUGGGUGCAGGGAACAUCGCUCAUUACACAUUUUCAAGAGAGGGGAGGGGGGCUAAUUCGCACCGCGGCGCAGCAUGCCGGUGUAGGUGUAAUCAUAUCAUUCUAAAUCACCGGUCAGUUACGCGCCGGCGAAGCCUCGGCUCAUGCCAGAGGGCCGGCUGGAGCCUGAUUAAAGCUCGACCAAAGACAAAGUGACACGUCCUUAACCUCAUCAAAGGAGACGUUAAGCAAACCAUCGCUUAGCCGUCAAGGUGCAAGGCUCACCCCGCCGAGACCCUCACCCGGGAUGGAUUUUUUCUUCCUUUCUGUAAAUUAGAGCUUUCUUCUCGGGGAGCGGCAUGCAUUUUUUAUAAGGGCAUCAUGGCGGAUGGUGGAUGGCUGCCUGGGCGUUCCCAUCACUAAUACGCCACUGUCCUCUUGAUUUAAUUAGACGUUGGGCCCUCUAUUUUCGACAAGGAAAUAUCUGCUCUAAUUAAGCGUUCGAGAAUGAACAGACAUGCGUUUCAGUGCCGGGUUAAUGUGGUCAUAAAAAAUCCAUGAUUUCUGCCCUUUGCCCUCCUUUUUUUUGGCGUUUUCUCACCGAUUCUCGCAGAAAUGGACUCCGACGUGUCCUCGCUCUCGACUCUGUGUGUUUUUGUCUUCUGAACAGGCCAAUUACUUUUUUGGGUUGCUUUAUGAUUAUUCAUGCUAGAGAGACUCCCAGCACUUAAUGGACUUAGCAGUGUUUUGUACUCUCUCUCUCUCUCUCUCUCUCUCUGGAAACAGAUAAUUGCUCCAUUGAGGAGGCGAACCUUUGCAGUCCAACCUUCGUGUUGCGGAGGAAUGAAUGCGGCGUUACAUGUAUGUAAUUUCUUUAAAGGAAGCAUUGCCUCUGUAGCCUGCAGGGAUUAGGCCCUAAUGACAGAAGUUAAUUAUAUUAAGAGUAAUUUUCAAAAACAGUUCAUGAACUGCAAAUUAUACUUAAAAUUGCUCCUUAAUGCUCUUAACUGUAAUUAAAUUUCCUAAUAUCUGCAGAAAAUGAACAGGCGGGACGGGAGCGAGGGGUUCAGGGACUUUUAGGGGGUUCAGGGGUUAACGGCCCGUGGAUGGGAUCAGAAAUGUGAUACUCGUACGCUGCAUCCUGGUUUAUUUUUUUAAGGUUUCAUAGGAGGAGAGUGUGAAAUUUAUCAAAUUCAACAAGAACACAGGUUUAAAUAUGUAGAUAUUAGUGUGGUGUUUUAGAGGAGGAUGAAAACGCUUCAACUCUUGUUUUUUAAGGUGUUAAGAUAAUAAAAUCCGACUUAAUUCACAAAAUAAACAUUAUUUAUCUGGUUUAGUGCACCCUAUAGAGAACAGCAUGUUUAAAGGUGCGGUCUGUAAUAUUUAGCAGCUUUCAUCAGACCAAACUUGGUAAAGAAAAUACAUCAUUUUAUAAAAAUAAAGAGUUUUGUUUUAGUUAAUGUAGAAAAGCUUUUCUUCCCCUUCCAUGGAGGCUACUAUCUUUCUAUGGAUGCACAAAAGGGACAAACUUGUCUCAUAUGUGUUUUUGUAUUCAGUCAGUAGCUGCAUUAAAACGAACCAGCUGGAAGACGAAAUAAUUCAAGUUUACUGACAUUUUUAUUGAAGUAAAAACUUGAGAAGUGGUAGAUCAGAUUCAUCAUGUAUCACAGGAACUUGUUGUCCUCAGAGACCACUGUUGUUUUAUCAGUAAGAGGGGGGAGUAAAGGAGCAUUUCGCUCUAAAAUCUGGACCCUAAAACCUCGUUUUUAAUCUACUUUGUCCACCUAAGUUAAUGUUUUGAUGUUUUUCUUAACAGCCUUUUUCCCAGGAUGCUUCCCGACACCUCCAAAUGUUUGCAUGUAUGUCUAAAAUGUGCUCUUCAAAUCCUUCGAUAACAGAUAUUUGGACUUCUGGCUCAUUUUAAUAUUGAUCACAUGAUCCUGUUUGAGCGUUGUUGUUUAUAAUAGGGAGUUAUUUUCUCAUAUUUGAUCUUUUUUUGCUCAGUUUUAGUCUCCACCACCUCCUCUUGGUCUAAUUUUGCUCAAUAUUUAGUUAGUUACUCCACAGUUCUGCUGAAAGCUUGUUGCUUUUUGGAUUUUGAACUGUUCUCCAUCUUUUGCAGGACCCACUAUGUGCAGCAGAGAACAGUAAGAGUGAAAAUCUAUCUAAAAUCUAUCUCCAAAAACAUGUGAAGUCAUAUUAAUCUUAUUUUUAACAUGCAAGAGUCGCAAAGUCUGCAAACAAAGGAGGACUAAAGAGAACAAAACUGAAGUUUGGACUCUUUAAAUUCAACAGAGACCCUCGAUUGGUAAUUAUAGAUGGAUAAAUAUGGAGCACAUGGCUUCAGCUCCAUCAUUUAGAGGACUGGAAGGAGUUCAGGCCACACAGUUGUAAAGUUGGAGCUAACGGAAGUAUCACUUCACUCUGCAGACGACGUCAUGCCUGUCGCCUCUCUUGCACUCGCCCAUAAUAACACAGCAGUGCUAGAUUCAGGAACGAGCACACGAGCAGCCUCGCCGUCGCUUUCGCCACUUUUCAGAAUUAGUCCUGAUGAUUUUUCUCUCCUUUUCUAGCCGGUGAGACCUCGACACGUAAAGUGAAAAGUGCUUGAGCUGCUGUAAUCCUCCAAACGCUUGACGCCGGGCAUUUUCUGAGCUCUACAGGAGGUGGAGGGAAAAGCAGGAGAAUUAUGCAUUUGUCUGCCUGUAAUUAGGUGUAUUUCUUCCCUGAGUUUUUAUUCAAUGAUUGGCUUUCUACAGCGAGGGCCAGUACUUUUGAAGUGUAAUGCUUCUCCUCUCAGGCGACUUAAAAGUUACAGGGGGAAAACGCGGGUGAAAAAAAGGAACUGCAGUCAUUCUGCGGCUUUGAAGGAGCUUUAAUCUGAACAAAAUUUAGGUUGGCCUUGGUUUUUCUGACAUCAAAGACUCACGAGAGCGUAUUAUUCAAUCAGAAGUGGUAUGUUAAACCAUAAAUGCCAUUGUUCAAGUACUUACAGGAGGGGUUUCACCUCAGAGAGAGAGGCAUGGAAGCUUUCCGAGUCAUGCCAUUUGUGCAACUGUGCAUAUUAAAUCUACUUGGAAUUUCUGUGGCAGGGACUGUAUGUUCAGUGUGGUUGAAGUGCAUGUGUAUGUGAGUGCAAAGGGGGGUCUUUUUCUCCCUCUAACACACUCGCAUGCAAAACUAUGCGAGCACAAAAACACACACUCUCAGUGUCUUCCAUCUCUGCUGUGAAGCCAGACCCCCCUCGGCUUUUCUCACUUGUAAUCAUGUCCAAAUUUGCACAGGAAGGCAGGGGGAAGGGGAGAGCCAUGUCAACUUGUGUGGGUGUUUUCUGUUUUUUUAUUACAUACAAAACCCGCUUCUGAUUACCGCCGAUCUCUCCGACACCCCAGAUCCAAAUCACCUUCUGAAGCUGUUCAAACGCCAGAGCUCCAAACAUUUCUGCUCUCUCUCUGUCCUUUUUUCAACUAAAAGUGAAAUUUGGCUCAGGGACGUAGAAACUCUACCGCCGCCAAGUAACAAGGAGGUAAAAUAGAAACGUAAAGAACACGGAGAGGAGUAGCAGGAGUGCAGCAGAACCUGCCAGGUUUAAGGUGAGCGUCGAGCCGAGCAACUUUGAGGAAGUUAGAGUUGGACGUGAAGCUCAGGGAAACAUUCAGAGAAUCAAACAGUCAAUGUUUUUGACAUUCAUGCAGGAAAAAUGCAACCAAAGCUCUUGAACUACAAGUUUGUUAACCAAAUCUCAAACUGCACAUUAAGAAGUGUUAUUUUGAGAGUUUGCUGUUGCAGACUUGGACGUUGACGUUGAUAAGCUGCUGUAGCGUCUUGUCCUUCCUGCUGCAGCCAAACUGCCAAAAGAAAUGUGAACUUAAUGUCAACGUUUGAGCGAAGCAUGCAGGUGCAGCCAAGAACAAUUACUCAUAACUUUACGUGUGCAGGACCAGGAAACACUAAUGCACCUGAGAAUAACCAGACUGAUCUCUGAAUAACUGCUCCCUUUUUUUGUUGCAUGCAUAUGUUGUCCUGUGUGAUAGUGUUAUCUUGUACAGUCACUACAGUAAAUGCUGUAUUUGACAGAAGAAGCUCUCUGAAACUCUCAGACCACACUGGUGCAGCAUUUGUUUCACGAUAACUGUAAAAGUCAAGAUUAUAAAGUACGUUUCAUUGCAUGUUUUUGAAGAUACUGCCAAGAAUCGAUUUGCAAUGUUAGUGCAAACUGAAGAAGCAUUCUUUUUUUUAACAUGUACAAAAUCCUGAUUCCUCGACUUUCAAAUUUAAAUCUGCUUUUUCUGCACCGUUAGUUAGUAUUCCCAUUUGCAUCCUCUCCUUACAUUAACUUCUCUGCAUGUUUUUGUUUAAUUCAAAAUAUAGGAUAAAUGUGACAGAAAAUAGAUUUAAAUAGAUGUUAGAUCCCAGGAUAGUUUAAAAAUCAUGUUUUAUAAUCUGUAGAAAUAAUCAAGAGAAGCCAGGUGCAGCUCCAACCUUCCUGAUUAAAGUGUCUUUUAUUAACGUCCAAAGACCUUUGAGUCAAACUGUCCGAACUCUGAUAUUUGGGGAAACGUGCACACACACACUGCAGCUCGUCCAUCGUUAAAAUUUCUGUUAUAGUUCCAUUGUUCGUUAUUAACCAAAUGCACCACUUGAACUGUUGGAUUAUCUGUUUUAUCUCCGUUUCUUGGCCCCUCUUCUCAUCUCUGUGGACCAAUUACAGAAGCAUUGUUCUUUCUAAAUGAUUAAUCACUUUGUAUUGAGCCGCUUUGGCAGGAUUUGUUCUUUUAAAACACGAGACCUGAGCUGAUAAUUGAAAUUUCCUCUGUAAUUUCUCGUCUUUAUUACCUGCAGAAAUUUGGCACGGGCCCUGACUCGAACUGCCAGAGCAGCGUUCAGUACCUGUGUGUGUUUAUUUGUCUCUGAAUUCUCCGAUUCGGAUGUAAAUGUUUCAUUCGUCUGUGUCAUCUCAUCAGAUUUUCUUGUUCUUGUUAGGGUCGACAUGUUCUUGGCGUCUCCCUGCACUUCUUCAUUCAUGCCGUGUGCGCUCUCGGGCAGCUUGGAGGAGUUAGUGGCACUCUGUAAGUGUGUGUUAAUGCGCGUGAGUGUGUGUGUGUGUGUGCGAGCCCACCUUGGCAGUGGCACUAGCUAUCAGCAGGGCCCAGCCGGCGUGCUAGCAGUGAGAGCGUAGUGUUUGUAACAAAGCCGCUCUGACUGUAACUGUUCACAUUUGUCCCUCAGGCGAAGCGAGGUGGAACCUUCCAGAAAAAAGGAGGCUCUAAAUGGCUCCGUGGAGGGCGGCGACGACGGGUGAGCCCGCCGCCAUGUGUGCUGAGGAAGUCUGCACGCCACUCGGACCCUGCACACAACAGGCAGCCAGGACGUCUGGCCAACGUGUCACACGAGACAGUGAGAUGGAGGAAGACUUCGCUUCGCCUCUUUCUCAAUUACAGUUUAUCUCCCUCAGUUCGAAAACACAAUAAGAGGCUCGGAGUUCAGCUUUCCUUUAGACUCCUCUGUCUGUUCGUCUCUGCGGCCUGCUGAUUGGCUGAUGAAAUUUAAGGUUGUGUAAAACGUAGAGGUGGUCUCAGUGACCUCAUAGCGUAUGAAGAGGUGUGAUGAAGCCGAGAGUCCUUUUUGGACUUUUAACUCAUAAAUGCACAACAGAGGAGAGAGAAGUCAAAGAGACGUCAGGCAACGAUAUCUCCUCAUGUCUGCAGACAAACACGACAACGAUUCCUGCGUUUUCAGACAAGAACAAUUAUUCAAUAACUGUCAAUAAUUCAAACAUUACUCUGUGAUAUCAAACUAAACUACUGUCUGAGCAAUAGGUUUAGGUUUUUUUUGUUGUUGCUGAAACAGAGACUUUCAUUGUUUACCACUGGGAGCUGUUAUCUCAUAUUUAGUCUUUUUUUUUGCUCAGUUUUAGUCUCCACCACUUCCUCUUGGUUAAAUUUAGCUCAAUAUUUAGUUAUCUACACUACAAUUCUGCUGAAAGCUUGUUGAACUUUUAAAAUAAAAACAAUCUCCAUCUUUUGCAGGACCCACCAUGUGCAGCAAAACAAGAAAACCAAAACAACGACUUGAGAGAGGCUGAAAAUCUCAGUCAAGCUGCAGAGAAGAGAACAGUAAGAGUGAAAAUCUAUCUCCAAAAAUAUAAUAAAUAUAAUCCUUGUUAGUAUGAAGUUUAAGUCUUAUUAAUCUUAUUUUUUACAUGCAAAAACCACAAAGUCUGAGGAAUAAAUGGCCUUAAAUGAGGAAAAAAGAGAAUAAAACUGAAGUUUGGAUAGGUUUAGUUUUUUUUUGCAUUUCUCUCCUGAUCAGGAUCAUUCACCUGUCAGUCAAAUCAGCUCCGCCUUAAUUUCUGCAGACCUCCCCGCCCAAAUGUAGUGAAAACAGGUUGUAAGAUACUUCACCUUCUGUGCAGGUAGAGCAGUGAGGUAUGGAGAGCAAAAGCACGCUGUACGAGGCUGUACACACGUUUUAUCCCAUCAGGUUUUUACAUUUCGGCGGGUUUAACCCCCCCUGGAGCCCUUUACCCAAAACAAGUUUGUCAGAGAAGUUUCCUCCGUCACAAUGAUCCGCUCCCCACAAACACCCCCGCCGCCCUCAUUUGCGUGAUCUCGCCGAGCAUCAAUCUGCUGUCGCUGACGAUGUCGGUGGAGGAGACGCUGCCUCUGAUCGAGGAUGAAAGCUUUAAAUAGCCGCGUGGCUCGGGUUGCGGGGUGUCAGGGCCUAUCGGCUGAGGACGAGGAUGAUGAUGAUGAUAGUGCAGAAAAAGAGGAAGUGGUCAGAGCGGGUGAAGUGGGUCAGGUCCGGAGUGAGUGGACGUGUGAUGUGACCCGUUAGCGUGAGGAGGGCUGGAUGGACUCGAGGGCUGCUCUGUCUGUCUGUCUGAGGGUGGAGGCAGGACGCCGGUGGCCACAGGGCGAACGAAUCAGAGGAAGUUUAGAGCUCAGAGUUCAAACAGACGAGCAGAGAGAUUCAGAGUCAGUGUGGAGUCAGAGGAGAGAGUCCUGGUCCAGAACUGAGACCUGUUUACCUGUUUCUCUCUUUCUCCUCGACUGUACUCCCUUCGGAGGAUUCAUUUCAUCUUUAAUUUCAAAGAUAUUCGUUUAUUGACCUUUGGAUCACCAGGCUGGAGUCUGUAGUCGUCUGCUGUCUCUCCUCUGAUCCCAGCUCACCUCUUUGUAAAACAGAAAAUAACCAGUCUGUCUAAACUCGAACUGAAGUCAGCUCAGGUUGAGUUUCUCUCCAUGUUGCGUGUGUGAUCCUCCUCUGAAUCAGAAGUUUGGAGCUGGAAGUCUUUGACCGCCAUGUGAGCUGGUGUCUUCUUGUCUCUGCGUUAACGGGGCGUUUGUAGCCGAGGGGCAGCAGCGGAUCAGAGGUGAUCAGCGUGAUGUGGGCUGAGAGGACACACAAACACACACAGAGUCCAAGUCAGAGCUGGUUAGAAAACCUUCAGAGAGCCUGGACCUCAGGACACAGAGAAACCACCUCAGUGACACGACAGAGGAGUGAAUAUCUGCUCGUUAGACGUAAAUCAGGUGAAAUUUAAAGACGAUUUAAAAUUAAACAAAUCAGCAGGAUUCAAAGAGCCUAUAAACCACGACAGAGUCUUAUUCUGCCAGAGGGAUACAGAUGUCAAAAACAUAUGGAAAAUAAAGAAAACAUGACACAGCCGAGGCCGUCUGCUCCCAGAAACAUCUCCAACAAACCCCAACAAUAAGGACUUGAAAGAUUUUCACUCAUUUGUGACCGUCCUCUUCUGCCGCCUCUGCGUCUCCGAAGGCCGAGCCCAGAAGACUUUGUGAUUCCAGUCAGACUUGAGCGAUGAUUAGAUUGCUUCAAUUCUUCUACGGCGUGUCUCCCGGUGCCUUUAAUAUGCAAAUAGUAGGUAUGCAAAGCUCUGAUGCUUUUAUUUAAAAGACAUGUCCUCGGGCGAUAGCAGGGAGAGCUCUGUUUUAGCAUGAAAUAAAUAGUUGUUAAAGGGAUCACACAAGUCCGCAUCUUAGAAGAUGAAAAGCUAAUUGACAUGAAUAAUUUAUUUGUAUUGCAGGAUCUUAAAGAUAUCAGAUAGCGGUGGAUAAAUAAAAGUUGAGUUCAAACAUGAUGCUGAGCGUCACGGGCCUUUCCAGCGUUCAGAGGGAAUUACAGCUUUCAUUUUCGUCCUCAUCCUUUCAACUCAUAAUGGCAUUUGUCCUAAGGUCACUCCACCGCAAUUAUCAAAUAUUACCAGAAUACUCUGAGGUAUUAAGAAUAAUGAUCUGGAUAUGAAUCAUUAUGUUGCUCCUGCAGUUCAGGAGGGGAGCGCCAGUUUUUUAGGAGGAGGCAUAAAAACGGGAGAUUUAAACUUCUCCAAUCACCAGGUGAAAAAAUCUGGCUUCAUACAUGAGAUUCCCCGCCGUGAUUCGGUCUUAUAUCUUCUAAAAACUCUGCAUAAAACAGGAAUGUGUUCAUAAAGAUCGUGUUUUAAGACCUGCUUUGGAAGAGGAAGGUCAAAGUCAGGAUUACGUGCAGAAAAAGCACCACAGCAUGUGAAACAGACACUUUACUGAGGUUUUCAGGCUGCUUUGUGGAGUCGUUUUAAGUCUUUAGAUUACUAUUGCAUUUCUGCAUUAGACUGGAGGUAAAACAUGUAAUAUAUCGUGCAAAAACCCAGCAAAUAAUUGGUUUUCUUAGGUUUCUUUUGUAAGUGAAAUUUGCUCAAAUUUUUUGGAAGCUCUACCCUCUAAAUAGAAAUAGAAACCUUCACAAUAACGACAUGUUUGUGACGUGCAAAGACACAGGUGUGCAGACAUUAGUGCUAAUCUUGUCAAAUGAUUUUCAGAUGUCUUCAUAAGUUACAUUACUUUUUUCUUGAAUGUUUCCUGCUAAAAGUCAACAUGAAAUUUCAUCUGUUUGCAUGUAGCUCAACCUAAAAAAUUUUAGGUUUUUGGGAGUUUUGUGCACAUGCAAAUACAACUUUCAUCAUCAUAUCAGUGCGGCGGAUGUUUGCUGCAACCUCUCCUUGUCCCAAAUGAGCAGGAAGAAUGUAUUUUAGAGGAGAAUCAAGGAUGUUUUUGGAAAACGCAUGCUUUAGGCCUCAAACAAUGUUUAAUUAAGAAGGAAUAAAGUUUACUUUGUAACCUAGAAGUUGUCAAUUGUUCCAAAUUCUUGCAAAACUUUAAAAACCAAAUUGUGUCUUUAAAAGUCUGAACAUCAUGCCUACUCAGAAAUCUUCUUUAAAAAAACAGAUUGCCAAAACUGAAUAAGUCAUUUUUGCCCACAGUUUCUGAAGAAGACGAGUUUGUUUGCACGUUUCUCUCCUAAAGAGCUCCACAGUUUGAACUUUGAUGCUCUUUUUGUUUGCAUGCGUGUCAGAAAGUGCACACGGGGAUGAUUUAUUGGUGUUCAAAUGACACAUCGAGCACCUUUCUGCAACUUUAGGUUCUGUGGGUUUGGGAGAUAGUUGCUCAUCCUAAAUAAUGAGAGAAGAAGCUCUCAGUUCAGGAAGGAACACGCGAGGAGGAUGUGCGCCCGCUCCCCCUGAGGUUAGUCUCAUAUCCAAUCAGACUGUUUCUAUAAUCGACUGACAUUCUCCCAAAAUGACGAAUCCCACCCACCCGCCCUCCACCCAGGCUAAAAGCGAGCGCUCAAAGUGCUUUAAAAUUGCAGUUUGACCCCUGCACAGAGGAGGUCCACACACUCUGAGUUCAAUCCUACUCCAUAUCUCUGCUGGCAUGGUUAGAAUUCAGCUCUAACUGGAAGGCCCUUCUGAUUACAGACUACCCACAAUGCCCUCUAUUGUUGUUUUGAACUUUUGACUGCGUGGGCCGGGCCUCGACAGCGGCGAGCAGCGCUGGGGAGUCGGCAGCGGGGCGGAAUAUUUGACAUUUCUCCGUGAUGACAGCCUUGUUACUACUCUUGUUUCGUAUUGUGUGCAUCCUCUCUGUGUGGACUCCCGUGGCAACACAAAAUCUGAUUUGGAUGACAAAUACUUUCCGGCUCUGCAGCGUGUGCACCGUUUUUGGCCAACUCCACCCAGCUCGUUUAAAACGUAGGCCUGCAAAAGUUAUUUUCAAGGACUGUUUGACACACACUGGGCGUGAACGUGUUCUUCAGGGAGUCAGCGAACAUGGUCGGGAUGAAGAAGCUGAGGCUCUUUUUUUAGUUUACCAAAGUGUGGAAAGAACAGCAGGACCUCAGGGAAUUCCUGUUUUGUUCAACUGUUUAUUUUACACAUUUCAAAUAAAAGCCUCACUCCUGUUUGGGUCAUUUUAAACAAUUUUAGUGUUACAAAGAGGCUGAUGUAUUUGGGGAUAAAAUCAGUGUAAGCAGUGAAUUCAGUUUAUUAAAAGGUGAUGCGUUUUGCAAAAAUGAAAGAAGCUUGUAGGAUUGUUUUUAUAACUAUGAUUAAAGGGGAAUUUACACAACUGCUUGGAAACUAUUUGUACUGUUUGAUACCCAAUAAAAGUUUGCAGAAAUGUCUUUUUAACAAACAAUGUCACCCCUUAUAUACAUUAAAACACAGGCCUUAAGCAGACAUGCAUCCAUGAACUUUAUUCACUUUGUUUACCCAUCAUAAAUGAUCAUUUUUGGCUGUUUUCUGUAGAGCGAGUUUGAUUUUUUUUUUCAUACAUAUCAGACUAGUUUUGGCUCCUUUACUCCACCAUAACAUGAGUUAAUGACUGUAAACUCAAAUAAACACAGAAAUAGUCUUAAUUUACCUCAUUUCCUCAUAAUGGCAGCAAAUGAGGUAAAAGUUUUUUUUAAAUAAGAUAAAUACGUUAAGAAAUUAAUAAGAAAUUGUUGAAACCUGUAUAACUUUAACUUCCUCAAGAUAAAUGAAUUUAACUUAAUAUUUGUCUAUUUAUUUUAUUUAUUUAUUUAUUUUUCUGUCUUUUACGUUUUAUUUUUCGUCCGUUGGUGACGUCACUUCCUGUUUUCGCUACCUGCAUCAUCGGUCGUUAGCAAAGAUGGCGGCGAAAGUACGUCGCAGUUUUAUUGCCGUUAAAGUGUCAACAAAUCUUCAUACAAGUCAAAACUACGGAGUAAAAACGACUUUUAAGACGGUUAGCAGUUUGUUUUAUAAUAUCGAGAUUACCUUUCCACCUUAAAACGAAGUUUAAUCAGCGCGGGGCUUAAUAAGGAAUAUGCUAAUUUCAUGAUAAUUGUCUUACUGUAACAUUAACAUGGCGGUGUUUUCUAAUUAGGCUGUUUGUCUUUAUCUUUUUUCAACAGGUGUGUCAGUGAGAGG